CAUAUCACGUUGAAAUACCGGUUCUCGUACGAUCACUGAAGUUAAGCAACGUCGAGCUUGAUUAAAACCUAGAUGGGUGACCGCUUGGAAAUACUAGGUGCUGUAC